GAUGAAGAACGCAGCAAAAUGCGAUAAGUAGUGUGAAUUGCAAAUUCAGUGAAUCAUCGAGUCUUUGAACGCACAUUGCGCCCCCUGGUAUUCCGGGGGGCAUGCCUGUCCGAGCGUCAUUGCUGCCCUCAAGCACGGCUUGUGUGUUGGGCCCCGUCCUCCGAUCCCGGGGGACGGGCCCGAAAGGCAGCGGCGGCACCGCGUCCGGUCCUCGAGCGUAUGGGGCUUUGUCACCCGCUCUGUAGGCCCGGCCGGCGCUUGCCGAUCAACCCAAAUUUUUAUCCAGGUUGACCUCGGAUCAGGUAGGGAUACCCGCUGAACUUAAGCAUAUCAAUAAGCGGAGGA
rnacentral:misc_RNA from 1 species